rnacentral:rRNA from 1 species
UACGUAGGGGGCAAGCGUUAUCCGGAUUUACUGGGUGUAAAGGGAGCGCAGACGGCAGUGCAAGUCUGGAGUGAAAGCCCGGGGCCCAACCCCGGAACUGCUCUGGAAACUGUGCGGCUAGAGUACUGGAGGGGCAGGCGGAAUUCCUAGUGUAGCGGUGAAAUGCGUAGAUAUUAGGAGGAACACCAGUGGCGAAGGCGGCCUGCUGGACAGUAACUGACGUUGAGGCUCGAAAGCGUGGGGGGCAAACAGG